rnacentral:rRNA from 1 species
UACGAGGGGGGCUAGCGUUGCUCGGAAUGACUGGGCGUAAAGGGCGCGUAGGCGGAUUGCUUUGUCGGGCGUGAAAUUCCAGGGCUUAACCUUGGGGCUGCGUUCGAGACGGGUGAUCUUGAGUUCGGAAGAGGGUCGUGGAAUUCCCAGUGUAGAGGUGAAAUUCGUAGAUAUUGGGAAGAACACCGGUGGCGAAGGCGGCGACCUGGUCCUUUUACUGACGCUGAGGCGCGAAAGCGUGGGGAGCAAACAGG